rnacentral:rRNA from 1 species
AGAGUUUGAUCCUGGCUCAGAGUGAACGCUGGCGGCGUGCUUAACACAUGCAAGUCGAACGGUAACAGCAGAGCUUGCUCUGGGCUGACGAGUGGCGCACGGGUGAGUAAUAUAUAGAUAAUGUGCCCCUUAGUCUGGGAUAGCCACUGGAAACGGUGAUUAAUACUAGAUACUCCUUUUUAUCAAAAGAUAAAUUGGGAAAGUUUUUUCGCUAAGGGAUCUGUCUAUAUCCUAUCAGCUUGUUGGUGAGGUAAGAGCUCACCAAGGCGAUGACGGGUAGCGGGUUUGAGAGGAUGAUCCGCCACACUGGUACUGAGACACGGACCAGACUCCUACGGGAGGCAGCAGUGAGGAAUAUUGCACAAUGGGGGAAACCCUGAUGCAGCAACGCCGCGUGGAGGAUGACGCAUUUCGGUGUGUAAACUCCUUUUAUAUGUCAAGAAAAUGACGGUAGCAUAUGAAUAAGCACCGGCUAACUCCGUGCCAGCAGCCGCGGUAAUACGGAGGGUGCAAGCGCUACUCGGAAUCACUGGGCGUAAAGGACACGUAGGCGGGAUGCCAAGUCUGAUGUGAAAUCCUAUGGCUUAACCAUAGAACUGCAUUGGAAACUGGCAACCUAGAGUAUGGGAGAGGGAAGUGGA